rnacentral:rRNA from 1 species
UACGUAGGGACCGAGCGUUGUCCGGAUUCAUUGGGCGUAAAGAGCUCGUAGGCGGUCUGUUGCGUCGGCUGUGAAAACCCGGGGCUCAACCCUCGGGCCUGCAGCCGAUACGGGCAGACUAGAGUUCGGCAGGGGAGACUGGAAUUCCUGGUGUAGCGGUGAAAUGCGCGAUAUCGAGGAGGAACAGCCGGUAGGCGGAAGCGGGUCUCUGGGCCGAUGACAUGAC